CCUACGGGAGACAGCAGUAGGGAAUUUUCGGCAAUGGGGGGAACCCUGACCGAGCAACGCCGCGUGAAGGAAGAAGGAAUUCGUUCUGUAAACUUCUGUUAUAAAGGAAGAAAGACGGAUGGAGGAAAUGACAUCCGAGUGACGGUACUUUAUGAGAAAGCCACGGCUAACUACGUGCAAGCAGCCGCGGUAAUACGUAGGUGGCAAGCGUUAGCCGGAAGUAUUGGGCGAAAAGAGGGAGCAGGCGAAAGUAAAGAUCUGUGGUGAAAGACUGAAGCUAAACUUCGGUAAGCCGUAGUAACCGGCCAGCUAGAGUGCAGGGAAGGUACGCGGAAUUCGAGGUGUAGCGGUGAAAUGCGUAGAUAUAAGGAAGAACACCGAUGGCGAAGGCAGCGAACGGGAGUGCUACUGACGCUGAAGCCCGAAGGCGUGGGUAGCAAACAGGAUUAGAUACCCGUGUAGUC
rnacentral:rRNA from 1 species